GGGGAAUUUUCCGCAAUGGGCGAAAGCCUGACGGAGCAAUACCGCGUGAGGGAGGAAGGCUCUUGGGUUGUAAACCUCUUUUCUCAGGGAAUAAGAACUGAAGGUACCUGAGGAAUCAGCAUCGGCUAACUCCGUGCCAGCAGCCGCGGUAAUACGGAGGAUGCAAGCGUUAUCCGGAAUGAUUGGGCGUAAAGCGUCCGCAGGUGGUUUAUCAAGUCUGCUGUCAAAGAGUUUGGCUCAACCAAAUAAAGGCAGUGGAAACUGACAGACUGGAGUGCGGUAAGGGCAGAGGGAAUUCCUGGUGUAGCGGUGAAAUGCGUAGAGAUCAGGAAGAACACCGGUGGCGAAAGCGCUCUGCUGGGCCGACACUGACACUGAGGGACGAAAGCUAGGGGAGCGAAUGGGAUUAGAUACCCCAGUAGUC
rnacentral:rRNA from 1 species